rnacentral:rRNA from 1 species
GGGUUGUGAGGUUAAGCGACUAAGCGUACACGGUGGAUGCCCUGGCAGUCAGAGGCGAUGAAGGACGUGCUAAUCUGCGAUAAGCGUCGGUAAGGUGAUAUGAACCGUUAUAACCGGCGAUUUCCGAAUGGGGAAACCCAGUGUGAUUCGUCACACUAUCAUUAACUGAAUCCAUAGGUUAAUGAGGCGAACCGGGGGAACUGAAACAUCUAAGUACCCCGAGGAAAAGAAAUCAACCGAGAUUCCCCCAGUAGCGGCGAGCGAACGGGGAGGAGCCCAGAGCCUGAAUCAGUGUGUGUGUUAGUGGAAGCGUCUGGAAAGGCGCGCGAUACAGGGUGACAGCCCCGUACACAAAAAUGCACAUACUGUGAGCUCGAUGAGUAGGGCGGGACACGUGGUAUCCUGUCUGAAUAUGGGGGGACCAUCCUCCAAGGCUAAAUACUCCUGACUGACCGAUAGUGAACCAGUACCGUGAGGGAAAGGCGAAAAGAACCCCGGCGAGGGGAGUGAAAAAGAACCUGAAACCGUGUACGUACAAGCAGUGGGAGCCUCUUAAUGGGGUGACUGCGUACCUUUUGUAUAAUGGGUCAGCGACUUAUAUUCUGUAGCAAGGUUAACCGAAUAGGGGAGCCGAAGGGAAACCGAGUCUUAACUGGGCGUUAAGUUGCAGGGUAUAGACCCGAAACCCGGUGAUCUAGCCAUGGGCAGGUUGAAGGUUGGGUAACACUAACUGGAGGACCGAACCGACUAAUGUUGAAAAAUUAGCGGAUGACUUGUGGCUGGGGGUGAAAGGCCAAUCAAACCGGGAGAUAGCUGGUUCUCCCCGAAAGCUAUUUAGGUAGCGCCUCGUGAAUUCAUCUCCGGGGGUAGAGCACUGUUUCGGCAAGGGGGUCAUCCCGACUUACCAACCCGAUGCAAACUGCGAAUACCGGAGAAUGUUAUCACGGGAGACACACGGCGGGUGCUAACGUCCGUCGUGAAGAGGGAAACAACCCAGACCGCCAGCUAAGGUCCCAAAGUCAUGGUUAAGUGGGAAACGAUGUGGGAAGGCCCAGACAGCCAGGAUGUUGGCUUAGAAGCAGCCAUCAUUUAAAGAAAGCGUAAUAGCUCACUGGUCGAGUCGGCCUGCGCGGAAGAUGUAACGGGGCUAAACCAUGCACCGAAGCUGCGGCAGCGACGCUGAUGCGUUGUUGGGUAGGGGAGCGUUCUGUAAGCCUGUGAAGGUGGCCUGUGAGGGUUGCUGGAGGUAUCAGAAGUGCGAAUGCUGACAUAAGUAACGAUAAAGCGGGUGAAAAGCCCGCUCGCCGGAAGACCAAGGGUUCCUGUCCAACGUUAAUCGGGGCAGGGUGAGUCGACCCCUAAGGCGAGGCCGAAAGGCGUAGUCGAUGGGAAACAGGUUAAUAUUCCUGUACUUGGUGUUACUGCGAAGGGGGGACGGAGAAGGCUAUGUUGGCCGGGCGACGGUUGUCCCGGUUUAAGCGUGUAGGCUGGUUUUCCAGGCAAAUCCGGAAAAUCAAGGCUGAGGCGUGAUGACGAGGCACUACGGUGCUGAAGCGACAAAUGCCCUGCUUCCAGGAAAAGCCUCUAAGCAUCAGGUAACAUCAAAUCGUACCCCAAACCGACACAGGUGGUCAGGUAGAGAAUACCAAGGCGCUUGAGAGAACUCGGGUGAAGGAACUAGGCAAAAUGGUGCCGUAACUUCGGGAGAAGGCACGCUGAUAUGUAGGUGAAGCGACUUGCUCGUGGAGCUGAAAUCAGUCGAAGAUACCAGCUGGCUGCAACUGUUUAUUAAAAACACAGCACUGUGCAAACACGAAAGUGGACGUAUACGGUGUGACGCCUGCCCGGUGCCGGAAGGUUAAUUGAUGGGGUUAGCGGUAACGCGAAGCUCUUGAUCGAAGCCCCGGUAAACGGCGGCCGUAACUAUAACGGUCCUAAGGUAGCGAAAUUCCUUGUCGGGUAAGUUCCGACCUGCACGAAUGGCGUAAUGAUGGCCAGGCUGUCUCCACCCGAGACUCAGUGAAAUUGAACUCGCUGUGAAGAUGCAGUGUACCCGCGGCAAGACGGAAAGACCCCGUGAACCUUUACUAUAGCUUGACACUGAACAUUGAGCCUUGAUGUGUAGGAUAGGUGGGAGGCUUUGAAGUGUGGACGCCAGUCUGCAUGGAGCCGACCUUGAAAUACCACCCUUUAAUGUUUGAUGUUCUAACGUGGGCCCCUUACCGGGGUUGCGGACAGUGUCUGGUGGGUAGUUUGACUGGGGCGGUCUCCUCCUAAAGAGUAACGGAGGAGCACGAAGGUUGGCUAAUCCUGGUCGGACAUCAGGAGGUUAGUGCAAUGGCAUAAGCCAGCUUGACUGCGAGCGUGACGGCGCGAGCAGGUGCGAAAGCAGGUCAUAGUGAUCCGGUGGUUCUGAAUGGAAGGGCCAUCGCUCAACGGAUAAAAGGUACUCCGGGGAUAACAGGCUGAUACCGCCCAAGAGUUCAUAUCGACGGCGGUGUUUGGCACCUCGAUGUCGGCUCAUCACAUCCUGGGGCUGAAGUAGGUCCCAAGGGUAUGGCUGUUCGCCAUUUAAAGUGGUACGCGAGCUGGGUUUAGAACGUCGUGAGACAGUUCGGUCCCUAUCUGCCGUGGGCGCUGGAGAACUGAGGGGGGCUGCUCCUAGUACGAGAGGACCGGAGUGGACGCAUCACUGGUGUUCGGGUUGUCAUGCCAAUGGCACUGCCCGGUAGCUAAAUGCGGAAGAGAUAAGUGCUGAAAGCAUCUAAGCACGAAACUUGCCCCGAGAUGAGUUCUCCCUGAGACUUAGAGUCUCCUGAAGGAACGUUGAAGACGACGACGUUGAUAGGCCGGGUGUGUAAGCGCAGCGAUGCGUUGAGCUAACCGGUACUAAUGAACCGUGAGGCUUAACCUUACAACGCCGAAG